UCCUAGUUUGUGCUGAUCUUUAUAAAAUUUGAUUUUAAUUUGAAGCAUGUAAAAUUUAUUUAUGAUGAUUAUUAUCUAAUUUUAGUAUGAUCAAAAUAUAAUAGUAAGAUCUUAAAUAAUUUAGAUUAGAUCUAAAUUAUUAAGAUUAGAUGAUCAGAGUACCGAAGUAAUCGGAUUGGGUUUGUCACCAGGCCGUUCGAUCAUAGGAGGUAAUAGAGAUUAGAUCUCUCUUUUCUUUAUUCAAUUGUAUUCUCUUAUGAUGUGUAAGGAUGCCAUUGUGA
rnacentral:lncRNA from 1 species